rnacentral:rRNA from 1 species
GGCUUAACACAUGCAAGUCGAGGGGCAUCAGGAAGAAAGCUUGCUUUCUUUGCUGGCGACCGGCGCACGGGUGAGUAACACGUAUCCAACCUGCCCUUUACUCGGGGAUAGCCUUUCGAAAGAAAGAUUAAUACCCGAUAGCAUAAUGAUUCCGCAUGGUUUCAUUAUUAAAGGAUUCCGGUAAAGGAUGGGGAUGCGUUCCAUUAGGUUGUUGGUGGGGUAACGGCCCACCAAGCCUUCGAUGGAUAGGGGUUCUGAGAGGAAGGUCCCCCACAUUGGAACUGAGACACGGUCCAAACUCCUACGGGAGGCAGCAGUGAGGAAUAUUGGUCAAUGGGCGCUAGCCUGAACCAGCCAAGUAGCGUGAAGGAUGAAGGCUCUAUGGGUCGUAAACUUCUUUUAUAUAAGAAUAAAGUGCAGUAUGUAUACUGUUUUGUAUGUAUUAUAUGAAUAAGGAUCGGCUAACUCCGUGCCAGCAGCCGCGGUAAUACGGAGGAUCCGAGCGUUAUCCGGAUUUAUUGGGUUUAAAGGGAGCGUAGGUGGACUGGUAAGUCAGUUGUGAAAGUUUGCGGCUCAACCGUAAAAUUGCAGUUGAUACUGUCAGUCUUGAGUACAGUAGAGGUGGGCGGAAUUCGUGGUGUAGCGGUGAAAUGCUUAGAUAUCACGAAGAACUCCGAUUGCGAAGGCAGCUCACUGGACUGCAACUGACACUGAUGCUCGAAAGUGUGGGUAUCAAACAGGAUUAGAUACCCUGGUAGUCCACACAGUAAACGAUGAAUACUCGCUGUUUGCGAUAUACAGUAAGCGGCCAAGCGAAAGCAUUAAGUAUUCCACCUGGGGAGUACGCCGGCAACGGUGAAACUCAAAGGAAUUGACGGGGGCCCGCACAAGCGGAGGAACAUGUGGUUUAAUUCGAUGAUACGCGAGGAACCUUACCCGGGCUUAAAUUGCAGUGGAAUGAUGUGGAAACAUGUCAGUGAGCAAUCACCGCUGUGAAGGUGCCGCAUGGUUGUCGUCAGCUCGUGCCGUGAGGUGUCGGCUUAAGUGCCAUAACGAGCGCAACCCUUAUCUUUAGUUACUAACAGGUCAUGCUGAGGACUCUGGAGAGACUGCCGUCGUAAGAUGUGAGGAAGGUGGGGAUGACGUCAAAUCAGCACGGCCCUUACGUCCGGGGCUACACACGUGUUACAAUGGGGGGUACAGAAGGCAGCUAGCGGGUGACCGUAUGCUAAUCCCAAAAGCCUCUCUCAGUUCGGAUCGAAGUCUGCAACCCGACUUCGUGAAGCUGGAUUCGCUAGUAAUCGCGCAUCAGCCACGGCGCGGUGAAUACGUUCCCGGGCCUUGUACACACCGCCCGUCAAGCCAUGGGAGCCGGGGGUACCUGAAGUACGUAACCGCAAGGAUCGUCCUAGGGUAAAACUGGUGACUGGGGCU